ACAGUUCACACACUCACCACCAUACUCACUUCACUCACAACAUUACACAUACAAUUCUCUAAACAUAGGUAGCAAUAUACAUACACUGCACACACACAGAAAUAAAGGGAUCAAGAGAGAGAUUGGAGGAGAGAAAACAGUUAAAGAGCAGAGUGAAAAUGAGAGAGAAAAAAUAGAGUUGAAUGAAAUAGGGACAAUGGCUCCUUUUCCUAUGAAUCUAUAUAGGAAUAGCCAUCUUCAUGGGCAAAUUAAGUUUUUGAUUAACCCAUCUCACCAUUGUUACUGUUACGGCGGAAGAAAGCCAUCAGAAAAUUAUACCAGACUGGUCGCGCCCCCAAAUUCGGGAAUCCGUGUCACUGCUGGUCGAAACCGGUGAAAAGCCAUCGAAAAACCAUACCAGAUCAUCCGCGCUCCCAAAUCCGGCAAUUCGUGUCACCGCCGGCUGAAAAUGGAGAAAACCCCACCGGAUCAGCCACUACAAACCCAAAACCCACUAUCGGUCAUCGAAAAAUCAACUGCCUACCCCAAACACCUUAAAAUCGGUAAACCAACUCACCAGAAAUCCACCGACGUAACUGUUGCCUCCCAUUCUCCUAUCCGUUGUAACCUCCGGCUAGUAACCAACCACCGACGAACGCCAACAACAGCCACCAACUUCCCUUUCCCAUGUUUAGAAUUUCAAGUUACGAUUUCAAUUUUUUUUUUUUGGUAAAAAAGAAAAAUUUCUUUUCUUGAUUUUGAUUAUUAUGGAGAAAAUGGUAUGAAUUUUAUGUGAAAUUUGAGUUUUGAGGAUCUAGGUAUUGUCUUAAUCUCGUGAAGUUUAUAAUUUGAAUUUUUGGUCAAAAAUAAAAAAAGUCCAUUUUCUAGAUUUUGAUAAUUAUGGAAAAAAUUGGUGUAAAUUUUGGGUGAAAUUUUGAAAUUUUGAUAACUUGGGUAUUUUCUUAAUUGAUUUAUCUGUCGCUUGAGGAAGUAAUUUGGGUCCUAACUGUGAGUAGUUUUGUAUUUUUUUUACUUUAUUUAUUUAUUAUCGUCAAUAAAGCUUAAUAAUUACUUGUCAAAUUAAUUGAUUGUCUUAAAUAAAUAUUGCUUAAGAUUACCAUCAAGAUUGAAUAGCAUUUUGAAUAGAUAAAUUAAUGCCUUUAAUGUUAGGCAGAUUUUAGGCAUGUAACACCCGUAAUUUUUUAUAGCUUAAAUUCGCUCCUAGAAUGUCAAGAACUAGCUUAAAAAAUGAAUACCAUUUUAUUCAUAUGGAAUUUUCAAGAGUUAUGGCCAUUUUAUUAAGAUAGUGCACCACCUAAGCCAUCAGUGCAUCAUGGAGCCAGAUAAAAUGACCAUCGUCAAAAUCCAGUGAGCCUUCGCGAUCAUGGCGCGUCGCGCCAAGGCUCAAAAUGGCAAUGGCCCUUUUCCAGUAUUCCAACGCGAUUCCACCGCGUCGCGUUGCCCUUCCAGUUUGAAUCCAAGGUGGCAAUGCGAUACCACCACAUUGCGCCACCAACCAGCUUCCCAGUCGUCCACUUUCCAAUGAGCUGGUGUGAUUUCACAGCAUCACGCCAGCACGUAAAAUCGAAUUAUUUUUUCAGGUUUUGUUAUUUAAUUUCAGGGACCAUUUGGUAAUUUCCCAAAGACCUCAAUCAGCCUAAACACGGGAUUUAUACCCUUAAUAGCCAAAAUUGCUCAUUAUGUUCACUAUUCCUCAAGAACAAAAGCUCUCUCUCUCAAAUUAGCAAACCCUAGUCUCAAGAAAUCAAGGUCAAUCCCAAGAAUCUUUCCAAGGACUCCAAGAAACUCAUGAGUUAAGGUAUGUUAGAUGUUCAUUCAUGGGUCUCUUUCACCCAUGAAUUCCAAGAAUCCUUUUCCAAAGUACAAAAAUUAAUGAUUUAUGAUUUCCAUGCUUGAAAUAGAUUCAAUUCAUGCUCAUGAUGUUAACUGGGAUCUAAAUCAUGUUUCAUUAUAGGUUUCCAUGGAAUUGAAAUGGUUAUAUGAUAAAUUGUAUGAAUUUUAUGCUAAAACCCUAGAAUUGAAAUUGAGUAUUGUAUCCAUGAUUACAUAUGUUGGCCAUUGUUAUAUGAAAUAAUUCAUGCUCCCCAUGUGUUUGAUAAAAUGCCUAUGUAAAGGAAAUAGUGUCAUUGUAACAUAAUAGCAUGUAUACCCCAAGCAUGUACAAGUAGAUGCCUUACAAGUGUUUGGUAAAUUGUCUAUGAAAUGAAAUAAUGUCAUUAUAGCAUGCCAACAUGUAUUCCCCAUUCAUGUAUAAGUUAAUGCGUUACAAGUGGUUGUUGAUAUGUCUUAAUGAGUGAAUUAUGAGCAAGUGAACAAUGUUAUAUUAUUCAAGUUUUUUCUAUGCUUUACUUUUAUGUUAUCAAGUCUUGGUGGUAUUUAAUACCCGACAAUUUAGCUGAUUACUUAGAGCCAGUGUCAGUUUCAAGAUAAUCUCAGUCAUGCCAUAAUUAGUAGAAUUCUAUCAGUUACAGAACUUAGGAAAACUCAGUAAUCUCAGUAUCUGUCUAAUACAGUUUCAGUAAUCAAUUCGGAAACUCAGUGGCAUUCAGUCUGAUAACAGAAUUCAGUAGUAUUUCGUCAGUCAACAGAACCCAGUAAACUCAUUUAGAUCAUCCAGGUAACAUGACCAGUAACAGAUUCAGCCUAGUCUAGUACAGUUUACGAAUCAGUUCAAUAUCUAUUCAGUUGGGAGUAAGAUUUAGCAUCGAGCGAGAGCAGGGAUAGAAGCUUCCCCAUUAGUUAGGCAGAGUCAUUAAUAGCAAUCCUUGUACUCCAGAACUGUAUAGCUAGCACAGGAUGAGGAUUCACCCAUCAGAUUAAGGAUUGGCUACUUCUCAUGGGUCACCCAUCAGAUUAAGCUUGACUUCCUGUUCAGGAUCACCCGUUAGAUAGGCUUGACCACAACAGUGUCUUUAACUGUGGUACGGUACUGAAACCCUUCUAGUUGGGGUUACAGGUUUGACCCCACUAGUUCAGAUUCGAGGAAUGUCAGUUAGAUUAUUACUUCCCAUAAUUUUAGUUUCUGUCUCAGUUUUUAGAAUAGAGCUCAGCUCACAAUUACAAAAAUUAGGAUUGUCUGAUAUAGUCACUCAGCUCAGUAAAGAACUUAAAUAGUUCUACAGAUUUAAGACUGUUAGAUACAGUCAAUCAGCACUAGUAUCAGUAGAUUCAGGGAUCACCCGCUAGAUAGGCCUGAUUUUAGGGGUCACCCUUUAGAUAGGAUCGACCCUACAAUAGUCAUCAAUAAUCCAGUACUAGUAGACCCAGUUAUUAGUAUUACAGUGUUAAUAAACUCAGUUAGUCAAUAUUUAAAACUCAGUAUUCAGUUUUAUUACGACUUCAUUUACAGUUAUGUACUCAUACAUGUAUUCUCACUCAGUCAUGUUCACGUUACUUAGUCAGUUAUAGUUCAUGCAUAUGAACCUUUGCAUUUAGCCGUAUCUUAUCUAUCAUACCAGUACAGUCCCAUGUACUGACACAUACUUUUCUUGCGCAAUGGUGUCUUAUACCAUCAGUUUAGAUGUGCGGGUUCCCGAGCACCCUUAGCAAUUCAGUUUCACCCAGCAGCAGUAGACUUGGCAGUGAGUCCUCAUAAUUCGAAGAUGUUCCUUAUUUUAUUAUUGAAUUAGAUUUAGUAUUUUAGUAGAUGGAGUUAGUUGCAGAAUUGUCUCAUCAACUCCAUAGUUCAGAUAGAUUAGAGGCUUUUCAGACUAGAGUAUUUUUAGACAGUUGUUUUGGUUUUGGUAUUGUUAUACCUUAUACAGUUGUAUUUCAGUUUUGAACCUUAUGGUAAGUUUUUACCAAAUUUUUGUAUUUUACAGUAUUAUUAUUCAGUUAUUGCAGCAGGUACCAGUCAUGGGUUAGCUUGUGGUCCUUUUAGGGAUCAUGAGGCUAAGUUUUUACAAAAUAAAAAUAAAAAAUAUGAAUCUUCACAGCUCUGAACCUUUAGGGGUCUUGAGGCUGAGUUUUUUUUACCACAUAUAUAAAAUGAUUGUGUUUUUGUCUAAGAUUAUUUUAUUUUUAUUUUUAUAAAAUACGUAGUUGUAUUUUCAUCCAAAUUCAUGAUUGAAAUUAUAAAGAGGUCUGUCAUUGCAAAACUUUCAAUAGAGUUGGUCUAACUAAGUGUCAAUCCUUAAAAAAAUAUGUUUCUUCAUGUCUCCAGUUCCCCAAACUACAUAAGAUCUGAUUCAUGUCCUGACAUGAUACGUAGGCAACCCUCCAAAGGGUUCGAUCAAAACUUUUUCAAAAAGUAUGCCUAGAAAAGUCAGGAUGUAACACAAGGUCUUCCGCGAUAGGUUUGGAAAUACAUAUAGAGGCAUAACAUAUAACGUGUCAUUGUAAUAUGUUAAAUAUGUGAUGCUCAUCCAUUUUCUACUAGGUACAGAACGAUAAAGUAAUUGGUUAUUGAUUUGUGGUUUAAACUGGCUUCUCAUCCAUACAACACAAGAUACAAAGGAAAGAGAAAAAUGACCCGUAAAGAGGGUGCAGAGUCUGAUAGUGAGGAAGAUCAAAAUCAGUUGAUUUCACAAGAUUUUGCAUCCAUGGAAAAGAAUAGGUUAUUGAAACAACAAAUAAUGGAGAUGUAUCAAGCUUGGUUGAAUGGACAAGCCCCGCCUUCCUCAAUUCCUAGAUUUUCGAAUGCGAAUGAUCCAAAUUCCAUUGAAGCCCAAAUUGGUGAUCCAUUUAAUCCACCUAGAUUCGGAACAUAUGCUAAUGUGUUUGGCGCUGCUGGUACUUCUACCAUGUGACUACCAAAUCCUUCUAUCACAAACAACCCAAUUUUUAAUCCUGUAGCACUAGCUACUACGGGUCCUCAAUCGACAGUGCAGAAGACUAUGGGUUAACCAAGUCAUGAUCAAUUGAAUCCUCAUAAAGUGACUUAUAAAUUCCCAAAUUCAUAUUACCCCACUUAUCAACACGGUUCACCUAUCGUGAUUGAAAAGACUAUUAAGAAUGACGAAUAAGAAGAGAUGAUCAGAAAAGUAAGAAGUUUAUAACAGAAUAUGAGGAAUAUAUAGGGACUAGGAGGGAAAAAGAGUGUUUCAUACAAAGAUUUGUGUAUGUUUCCUGAUGUUCAUUUGCCGGUAGGAUUUAAAAUUCCUAAGUUUGACAAGUACGAAAACAAUGGCAGCCCCGUGUUUUUUUUGAAAAGGUUUGGUGAUCAACUGAGAGGAGCAGCGGGAAAAGAAGAGUUGUUGAUGGCUUACUUUGGAGAAAGUCUGGCAGGGAUAGCUUCAGAAUGGUUCAUUGACAAAGAUAUUUCUCAUUGGCACAUUUGGAUGACAUGGCUCAGGAUUUUGUCCAACAAUUUCAAUAUAAUAUUGAUAUAGUACUAGAUUGCACCACACUUGCUAGCAUGAGAAAAAAGACAACUGAAAGUUUCUAAGAAUAUGUUGUUAGAUGGAGGGAGCAAGCUGAAAGAGUAAGACCAUCCAUAAAGGAGUCUGAGAUGACUGAUAUUUUUCUAUAGGCACAAGAACCUGACUAUUUCCAUCAUUUGAUUUCUACUAUUGAAAGUACAUUUGCUGAAGUUAUUAAGGUUGGAGAAAUGGUUGAAAAUGGAAUUAAGUCUUGAAAAAUCAUAAGUCAGGCUACUUUGAAAGCAACAACACAGGCAAUCCAAGAUGGUUUAGGAAGUUUUGGUGGGAAUAAAAGGAAUGAGGAUGUAACUACUAUUGUACCAGGUCCAUGACAAAAUUUUAGAGGUACACAUCACCCGUACACACAAUCUCAAUCCGAAAUUUAUGUUUAAGACCUAUAUAAUCAACCACGGUACUGUGUUGCUCCCCAAAAUCCAUUAUAUUUCAAUCCAUCUCCUCAGUAUCCUAUCUAUAAUGCACAACCAUAUGUUAUGGCUCUUUUUUACUUGCAAUGGCGUGCACCAUCCAUUUAGAAUCAUUCUUCAAUCAUGUAAGUUCAACAAUGCCCUCCAAGAUCUACUUUCCAACAUAAGAAAAAUAUGGGCAAAGAUAAUUUCACUCAUAUUGAAAUGUUUUAUGCCAUCUUAUUUCAGAGUUUGAGGGAUAUAAAUAUUCUUACCCCAAUUACGAGAAAGAUCCCAAAUCCUUCUCUGAAAAAAUUAGAUUAUUCUAGAAGAUGUGCAUACUAUUCUGAUGCACCAAGGCAUGAGACAGAGAAAUCCUUGUACUUGAAAAUAGCAAAUCAGGAGCUGAUCGACACAUAAAAAAUUGUGGUGCAAAGUUCAGACGCUCUAAAUAUUAAUCAGAAUCUACUACCAACUCAUACUGAAAUAAACAUGCUCAAGUUGAUAACCAAUGGCGAAGAGGCUAUAAUUUCCUUCAAGCCUAUCAUUAAUAUUAAAACUGAUAUGGAAAGAUCAGCAAAUGCUGUAGAUUUUGCCUUGGACUUUCAAGUACUGAACAUCGAUGAUUCAUAUAAUAUUUUAUUGGGAAGGCCAUGGGUUCAUAGGGCUGGAGAAGUCACAUAUAUGUUACGCCGAAUGGUCAAGUUUGAAUAUGACAAAUAAGAAAUAGUUGUUCAUGGUGAAAGAGAUUUGUACAUGUAUAAAGAUUAUCUUGUUUCAUCCAUUGAGGCUGACAAUACAGAUGGAGCGCCAACUUAUCAAGUUUUUUAGGCGGUGGUUGUUGAGCAAAUCCUUGAGGGGAAUCUCAUUGCAAGACCACAAUUAUCCUCUACAUUACCUGUCAUAGAGUCAAUGAGUGAUGAUGAUACAAAAUUGAUCGACCUCUUUCAGAAUAUAUUUAUUGAAGGUGAUAUGGUUGAAAUUGGGGAAGGUGCCAGUAAUACAGAUGUGCAGUUUAUCGGCCCCGAUGUACAGCUUAUCAAUUGGGAGGCCACUCCUCUCCCUAUUAUGAAGGAUUCUUGGUAGUUUUUUUGAUUGUCUUCAAGUAAUUUGAAUAAUUCUAGGGUUGUAAUUUAGAUCAUUAUCUUAUUUGUUUUAGGAUAAAGCUCUUCCAAAUUUGUUUUUAUGAAAUGUAGUAUCCCUUUGUAUUAGUUUGAGUCUAAUAGUUAUUUUCUAUUAUACAGUUCUUUUCUAUGUCGAUUCUAAUGAUAUGAAAUGCACGAAGAAUUUCAUCCAGACCUUAAAACUCAAUCUAAUUUUGAAAUAAUGACUAAAGAAGUUGAAUACGAUAAAAAGGAAGUAUUUGAGGAAACAAGCAAAUAUUUCAAACAGUUAGAGAAUAAGUCAAACCCCAAUAUGGAUGAAAUUGGAGCAAUCACUUUGCUAAUCAAAAAUGACUUGAUAAUCAAUUAGAAGAUCUAAUUUAAAGAUCAAUCAGAGGAUAUAGUCUCCAUUAUUAGGAAAAAUGAAAGAAAGAUAGCUCCUAAAGAGACAUGAGUCAUCCGUAUAGAGAAAGUACAACACAAAUAGACUUGUAUGUUUUAUAAGCAUGAAAGAAGUGACACACAUGCACAUUCGUAGUGAAGGCCAAUGUUGAAAAGAUAUGUAAGAUCUCAUGUUUCACCCUCAGAUUGCAUGUUAUGUCCUUGCAUUUUAAGGAUUGAUACGACGAAGGCAUUUCUUUCUGCUAUACAAAUAUUGUGUCAUCCUUUGUUACCUCUUUUGAGCUUUAGUUUUAUUUAUUUCACACCCCUCAUUUGGAAUCAAAAUAGAGCUUAGCUUGAAAAAAUUCAAAAAAAAAUGUCAAGUAAGAGAAAUAGAAUAAAAAAACACUCAAAAAGAGAAAAGUCAAAGAAAAAGAACAAAAAAAAAAUAGUGUAAAAAAAUUAUCAAUCAAACAAGCAUAAGAAUGAGAGUCUAAACUAUAUUUCACCUGAUUCUUGCUAUGACAAGAUACGUAGGCAACCUUACUCUGGGGUUCUAUUUAACAAGGUAAAAAAUUCAAGUUACCCAGUACAAAAUAAAACUGGGGCAAAAAAUUAUUUUUCUUAAAAGUCGAUUCCAAAAGUUGUAUGUUUCACCCAAUGUCAUGUAAUUUUUUAGCCUCAUGCCACCCUUUUUUUCUAACCCUUUCCAAAAGCCAAGUUACAACCAAAGAAAGAUUUUCAGAUCAAUAUUUGAGAAUAUCAAGGCUAAACAUGUUUGAGUGCAUGAUGUUUCAUACUUCGGACAUCGUUUUUUCCUUAAAAAAAAGAAAGAAAUGAGAGAGUCUUAUUGGUGAAAACCCUCUUGGACGCCAUAAAGCAAAAGUAAGAAGUGAGAUCAAUAAAAAUGAGAGAACUUAUGUGUGAAAACCCUCAUGGAUACCAUUAGGCGACGACGAGUUGAGAAAGAAAUAAAAAUAAGGUAAACUCAUUGGCAAAAAUGCAUUGAGGUGCCACUAGCCGGAGGAGGAUUGUGAUUUAGAGUGAAUAUGUUCAAGAAUGACUCCAUUUCAAAUUCAAUAAGUUAGAAAAAGUUAUAAUGAUUAGAGUGGGUAGUUCAGGUUACUUAAUUCAAAAUGUAUAUCAUAAUCGAUGGAAUCGGCUACUAAACCCAAAUAAGUUUUUCUUUUGUCGUUUUGAGAAAGAGAUAUCUGUUAUCUUUUUAUUUUAUUUUUAUUUUUAUUUUAUUUUGAUUUUUAUAUCUUUGUUGUCAAAAUGAGAAUCAUCAUUGUCAUUUUUCGAGUAUUUUUGGAGUCAAAGUCAUGUCAAUAUAAGUGAGUUAAGAAGGACUCCAAAACUUGCUACCAACUACUUCAAUAGUAUACAGCAAGACAAAGGGCUGACACACAAAGACAACAUAUUUCAAAAAUCAAUUAAGAUACUCAGGAAUGCUUGUGACCUGAUGGAUUUUUUUUGGACUUGUGAAAAAAUUAAGGAUGUAUUAGAAGUUAACCUAGAGGCAUCAUGCAAGAGAAAUAUGAUUUGAGUCAAGGGUGUCAGUAGUCAGAAUUCAGGGUUAGAAAUAUGACAAGUCAAUGAAUAUUUAUCAAGGAUUAGAAAAGGAGUUUGACCAUGGCAAGUGCAAGAGUGGUCACCUCAAAAGCCAAAUGGCAUAAACCAAUUACCUUGUUUUUAGACUCAAAGUUUUCUUAUUAUGAAACAGGAACACAUGUUACCUUCAAAUCAAGGAUUUCAAAGCCUGAGUAUUAAAGGACAAAAUUUUUCACUUUUACAAAUGAAAGAAGCAAUGUUGCUACACAGGUUUGGUAAUCAAAAUCAUAAAAAAACAAAGAAACUCAUAAUCCAAUACCCCUAGGAGACACACUUCUAUGUUUGGAUAAUUCAAGUUUCAUUGGUUAAGUGAUGCAUUUCCUAACUUGAACCUUCACUCCUAGAAGAUCUACUUUCUAGUUGAGUGAUUUCAUUUAAUACCUAGGAGACACACUUCCUCGUCUGGAUAAUUUAAGUUUCAUUUGUUAGGUGACGCACUUCCUAACUUGAACCUACUCUCCUAGAAGACACACUUUCUAGUUAAGUCAUUUCAUUUAACCCUUAGGAGACGCACUUCCUUGUUUGGGUAAUUUGAGUUUCAUGUGUUAGGAGAUGCACUUCCUAAUUUUGGUCAUUAGUUUUAAUCUAAAGAAAUGCAUUUCUUUAGCAGGGCCUUGCUUCACCCUCUUUACUGUAGUUUUCAAAAGUUGUGAUCUGAUGACACUCACAAAUUUUUAUUGUGCAAACUAGGGAAAAAAUUUUAUUCGUGUUUAUGGGACUUUACUUUUCAGCUCAGGACCCUCUUGAAUAAUGUGAUUUUACUUUAUGCUCAGGCCCCUCCUGAAUAGUGGGAAUUUAUUUUCAGCUCAGGACCCUCCUGAAUAAUGGGAUUUUACUUUCUGCUCAGGACCUUCCUAAAUAAUGGGAAUUUAUCUUCUGCUCAAGACCCUCCUAAAUAAUGAAAAUUUAUUUUCUUCUCAAUACCCUCCUGAAUAAUGGGACUUUUCUUUUCUAGUUCACUUUUUACUUUGAGUUCGGGAACAUGUUUAAGAAAUCAGGAGUAACAAGUCCAGGAGCCUGCCUGAAGAACAGGGUGAAGAAAAAGCAAGUCCAGGAGCCUGCCUGAAGAACAAGGUGAAGAAAAAGCAAGUCCAGGAGCCUGCCUGAAGAACAAGGUGAAGAAAAAGCAAGUCCAGGAGCCCGCCUGAAAAACAGGGUGAAGAAAAAGCAAGUCAGGAGCCCGCUUGAAGAACGGGGUGAAGAAAAAACAAGUCAGGAUCCCGCUUGAAGAACGGGGUGAAGAAAAAGCAAGUUAGGAGCCCGCCUAAAGAACAGGGUGAAGGAAAAGCAGGUCAAGAGCCCACCUAAAGACCAGGGUAAAGAAAAAGCAAUUCAUGAGCCCACCUGAAGAACAGGGUGAAGGAAAAGCAGUUCAGGAGCCUACCUGAAGAAUGGGGUGAAGGAAAAGCAUGUCAGGAGAUCGCCUGAAGAAUAGGGUGAAGAAAUAGCAAGUUAGGAGACCGACUGAUGAAUAGGGUGAACGUUAUCAGUCGCAAGUCAGGAACCCGCCUGAAGAAUAAGGUGAACAUUAUCAGUUUUAAGUCAGGAGUCCACCUAAAGAAUAGACUGAAGAUUUUCAAGUCCAAGCCAAAAGAAAAUUUGGAGAAUAAAUCAAUUGUCAAGUUCCUCUCUAAUUCCAAAAGCUAAUGAGGAGGAACAUUUCGUGUUUCAAAUUUAAGUCAGAAUAACAACUAUCUCACCAUUUGAGAAAUCAUGAAAAUUCAAGUCAAGAUUCCAGAAUAGCUGAAUAGAUAGGAUCUUUCACUUGUAUCUUCAAUUUUAUUUUUGUUAUUCAUGUGAAUGUAAAAGCAGAAGUCGUGAACCGAAAACUUGACGGAACCUCACUCGACCUCUAACUCGUUCUAUCACUAUUUUACCUUUGAAUUACACUUGACCUGAUUCUCUUAUAACUCGAGAUAUGUAAACAGUCUAAAACUAAGACUCGGUCACAUCUUUUAUUUUAUUUUAUUUUUAUCCUAACCAUUGAAUAGUCGGAGGAUAAAAAAUCAUCUCUUAGUCUACUUCUUUGUAUGAAAACUCUUCGAGAUUUCAUAAAAAGAGGGACAAAAUGUAGACACGUGAUUUUUGAUCCUCUCCGAGUUUCUAAACCUAUUUUUUUUUCUUUUCGACAUUAAAUACUUAUAUUUUGUCCAAUAUCUAUUUUAGCUCUUAUUUUAUUUUUCAAUAAGUUUUUAGUUGAAAAUAAAUAAACAAAUAAAUAAAUAAAGUUAUAUUUUGGGAUAUCCUAUUUUUAUUUUUAUUUUUAAAAUAAUACAAGAAAAUUUAAAAAUUAUAUAUUUCUCUUUUAAUUUUAAUAAAUAGGCUAGUAGUUUUAUUAUUCUUGUAAUUAUAUUUAUUUUAGAUUAUUUAUAAACUUUUAUUAUAUUUUCUUAAAUAAAAAAUUAAUUAAUAUUUUUUAUUUAUAUUAUUAUUAGUAUUUAUUUUAUAUAUUUUAUAUUUUAAUCUAUUAAAUAUAUUUAUUACAAUUCAUAGUAAAUAAAAAAUUUCAAAAUUUAAAUCCUAAAACUACCCAAACUACUUCCCCCAAAUCCCCCUAUUUAAGGUCUUCCCACCCCAGAAAAAAAAAUGUACUAUUUUACUCAGACACGGACAGAGAAAGAAUUGAGACAGAGUGAAAACCAUAAAAACAAAAACAUAAGACAAAAGAGAGAAAAGAGCAAAGUUGAAGUUGGAGUUCCGUUUGAAGCUUCUAGUGACGAACUUCUUGCACUGUUAUUCAGUUCAAAUCAUCAUAGAUUCUUAAUAGCCGAAAUCAUUUAUUUUAUGAGUUUUAUCAUGAGAAAUCAUUAAUGAAAAUGUUUAAGGGGUCUUAAUAUAUUAUUUAGUAUGUAUGUUUAAUUAUGUAAAUCUUUUGUUACCACAUAUUACACAGUUAAUUUAUCAUGUGUAUAUAUUUGUUCAAUAGAUAUGUUGUGGAUUAAAACAUUUUGUGUUAAUAUCAUCAAAUUUAAGAAAAAAGAUAGAACAAAAAGGAAAAACGGAGAAAGAAAAAUUAACACACAAAUACACUGUACACAUGUAUAGACGGAGAGAGAGAGAGUGCUCCAUUUCAUUAACAAUGUACACAGUUCACACACUCACCACCAUACUCACUUCACUCACAACAUUACACAUAUAAUUCUCUCAACAUAGGUAGCAAUAUACACACACUGCACGCACACAAAAAUGGAGAUAUCAAGAGAGAGAUCAGAGGAGAGAAUAGUAAAAGGACAGAGUGAAACUGAGAGCAAAAAAAUAGAGUUGAAUGAAAUAGGGACAAUGACUUUUUUUUCAGUGAAUCUUCGCUGGAAUAGCCAUCUUCACCGGCGAAUUAAGUUUCCGACUAACCCAUCUCACCACUAUUACUGUUACGAUGGUGGAAACCCACCAAAAUACCAUACCAGAUCGGUCAUGCCACCAAAUCCAGCAACCCUUGUCACAGCCAGUCGAAACCGACGGAAACCCACCGAAAAAUGAUACCGGAUCGAUCGCACUCCCAAAUCCAGCAAUCCAUGUCACGCCUGCAAAAACCGAAGAAAACCCCACUGAAACCAGUCCCCCUCACCGGAUCAGCCACCACAAAACCGAAACCCACUAUCCUCCACCGGAAAUCAACUGCCCACCCCAAGCACCUUAAAAUCGGCGAACCAACUCGCCGAAAAUCCACCGUCGUCAUCGUCGUCUCUCAUUCUCCUAUCAGUCGCCACCUCUGGCUGGCAACCAGCCACCGGAAAAUGCCAACAACAGCCACCAACUUCCCUUUCCUAAGUUUGGAAUUUCACUAUACAAUUUCAAUUAUCUUUUUUUGGUAAAAAAGAAAAAUUCCUUUUCUUGAUUUUGAUAAUUAUGGAGAAAAAUGGUGUGAAAUUUGAGUUUGAGGAUCUGGGUAUUUUCUUAACCUCGUGAAGUUUAUAAUUUUCACUUUUAUAAUUUUAAUUUUUGGUUAAAAAGAAUAAAAGUCCCUUUUCUUGAUUUUGAUAAUUAUGAAAAAAAUUGAUGUAAAUUUUGCGUGAAAUUUUGGAUUUUCAAGAAGUUGGUAUUUUCUUAAUUGAUUUACCUGCCAGUUGAGGAAAUUAUUUGGGUCCUAACUGUGAGUAGUUUUGUAUUUUUUUAUUUUUUAUUUUAUUUUUUUAUUUUAUUUAUUAUUUAUUUAUUGUCAUCAAUAAAGCUUAAUAAUUACUUGUCAAAUUAAUUGAUUGUCUUAAAUAAAUAUUGCUUAAGAUUACCAUCAAGAUUGAAUAGCACUUUGAAUAGAUAAACUAAUGCCUUUAACGCUAGACAAAUUUUAGGCACGCUUAAAACAUUCGUCUCAAUCAAGAAUGUGGCGUACGCAUCUUUUUGAGACAUUUAAAAAUUGAAGGAUGCAAUAAUGCAC
rnacentral:lncRNA from 1 species